rnacentral:rRNA from 1 species
GACGAACGCUAGCGGCGUGCUUAACACAUGCAAGUCGAACGAAAAGAGGGAAAGAGCUUGCUCUUUCCGGAAUUGAGUGGCAAACGGGUGAGUAACACGUAAACAACCUGCCUUCAGGAUGGGGACAACAGACGGGAACGACUGCUAAUACCGAAUAAGUUCCAAGAGCCGCAUGGCCCAUGGAAGAAAAGGUGGCCUCUACCUGUAAGCUAUCGCCUGAAGAGGGGUUUGCGUCUGAUUGGCGGGUUGGAGGGGUAACGGCCCACCAAGGCGACGAUCAGUAGCCGGUCUGAGAGGAUGAAGGGCCACACUGGAACUGAGACACGGCCCAGACUCCGACGGGAGGCAGCAGUGGGGAAUCUUCCGAAAUGGGCGAAAGCCUGACGGAGCAACGCCGCGUGAGUGAUGACGGCCUUCGGGUUGUAAAACUCUGUGAUCCGGGACGAAAAGGCAGAGUGCGAAGAACAAACUGCAUUGACGGUACCGGAAAAGCAAGCCACGGCUAACUACGUG